UAGAUCACGUUUCGUUAUCUUUAGUGGGAAUCUGCAACGUGACACCGGAUCCGCGCGGCCCCCGCCUCCCUCCCUGCCUCUCUCUGCCUGGCGGAGGGGAGCAGGCGGGCCUCCUCAGCUUAUUUCUGAACAAUGAAGAUUUGUCUGUUCCCCAAGUGUAUUUAUCUAUGUACGGAGGGAGGAAGUUUUCUUCUGGAAGCUGGAAGCUGGAGAGCAGAGCCUCCUACUUCCUUGGUGCGAAAACGCUGCGCUGGCCCAAGAUACAGGGCGACCGCCGCCCCCCACCACCACCACCGCCCACACCUGGACAAACAGAGCCAGCUGUGAGCCUGACUCGCUGCUGAAAACCGUGCCGCCCCGCGCGACUCCCGAAAAUACCAUCUCCGUAUUGUCUCGAGGUCGGGGAAGGGAGAAAGAGAGAAACACACACAGACUGAUGGACCGACCGAGGGUCAAGCGCUGGGAGAGAGCUCAGAUUGGAGGGGAACAGAGCUGGGGCUCUGAAAAAAAAUGUCCACUCUAUUGCCCCAUAUCCCUGGAGGAAGAACCAAAGCGACUCAAAAAUGCACUCCCACGAGAAAAAAAAUGAAGCUAUUUAGAGUCCAAAUGGUAAGGAGGCCCAAUGACAAGGAAAGCAGACAUUUAGGGCUCCUCCCCAUCUCUUCACUUGAAUUCUUACAAUAAACUUAUAAAACUACGUGUUUAUAAAAACUAAGAUAUUGGCUUGGUUUCAUGAUGGUUUUACUCCACUCUCCAAAAAAUCAGGCUUCGUGAAAUUUGAAAUGCAAUUAGAUUUAUCGUUAGCGUGAUUCAUUGACUAUCUGGUUUCCUCAGGUAAACUUGCACUUACAUAUAAAUCGUAGUAAUUUGAAACUUCUCCCUCCCCACUUUGCCUCCCCCACUCCCCCACAUUCUGAUAUUAAUAAUCCCCGGCUGCCCCUCUUUCCGGGUCAUUACGGUACUGCUGGUCUCUAAUCAAUCCUAAUGCGAUGGCAAUUGGAGUCCCUGAUGACUGCGGCUCGGGUUUCUUGUAAUGGCUCUACCACAUUUUCCUGGACCUCCUUCUUUAACCUGAGAUGCCAGGGGGACGAGUCUCUUCUCGGCUGCUGAUUACUUCAAGAUGUGGGGGCUGGUUUGAGCUGAAGGAUAAAGACACGCGCACAGCGUGGCUGCCACAGCAGGCUGGGCGGCUGGCGAGAGCAGACAUCUGCACGCGGGG